rnacentral:ncRNA from 1 species
CAAAAGCCUGGUCCUGACUUUAACAUCAGUUGUAACCUAAAUUAUACAUGCAAGUAUCCGCGCCCCUGUGAGCAAACCUUUCUUCGCCAAUAAUGGAAGAAAUUUUGGGCAUCAGGCACACCUAAGGGUAGCCCAAAACGCCCAGCCGCGCCACACCCCCAAGGGAAUUCAGCAGUAAGAGGUAUUAAUAUAUAAGCGAAAGCUUGACUUAGUUAGGGUAAUAGUAGAGCCGGUAAAACUCGUGCCAGCCACCGCGGUUAUACGAGGGGCUCAAAUUGAUGAAUAGCGGCGUAAAGAGUGAUUAGAGAACGCCAGACUAAAGCUGAAAGCACGCCCAGUUGUCAUACGCUAUGAUGAAUGGAAACCAAAAACGAAAGUAGCUUUAAGAAUCUUGAAUUCACGACCAUUGAGGAACAAACCGGGAUUAGAUACCCCGCUAUGCUCAAUAGUAAACAAUGGUGGCAGAAUACACAAGCCAUCCGCCAGGGGAUUACGAGCACCUAGCUUAAAACCCAAAGGACUUGACGGUGCCUUAGGUCCACUUAGAGGAGCCUGUCCUAUAACCGAUAUACCUCGUUGAACCUCACUACUCCUUGCCAGAUCAGCCUAUAUACCACCGUCGGCAGCUUACCUUGUGAAAGCCAUUGUAGUGAGCUAAAUGGAAUAAAGAUCCAGAACGUCAGGUCGAGGUGUAGCAAACGGGGUAGGAAGAGAUGGGCUACACUUUCUGGAUCAGAAAAGACGAAAGGUGGAAUGAAAAUAACACAACCGAAGGUGGAUUUAACAGUAAGAUUGAAAAAAGAGAGUUCAGCUGAAUAAGGCUCUAAGGCAAGUACACACCGCCCGUCAUUCUCUUCUAGGGCAAGAUGACCGACUAGAUAAUGCUUAAAACACCCAACAGAAGAGACAAGUCGUAACAUGGUAAGUGUACCGGAAGGUGCGCUUGGAACAAC